rnacentral:rRNA from 1 species
UAAAGUGUCCGUAGUCUGAUCUGUAAGUCUGUUUUCAAAUCCUACGACUCAAUCGUAGAAAGGGAAUGGAUACUGCAGAUCUAGAAGUAUCUAGGGGUUAGUGGAAUUUCCGGUGGAGCGGUGAAAUGCGUUGAUAUCGGAAGGAACGCCGAAAGCGAAAGCAGCUAACUAUAGAAUACUUGACGAUGAGGGACGACAGUUUGGGGAGCAAACAGGAUUAGAUACCCUGGUAGUCCAAACCGUAAAUUAUGCUUGCUAGAUGUUUUUAUCAGUUUACUGGUAGGAGUGUCGUAAUCUAACGAGUUAAGCAAGCCGCCUGGGUAGUAUAUUCGCAAGAAUGAAACUCAAAGGGAUAGGCGGGGGAACACACAAGCAGUGGAUUAUCUAGAUUAAUUGGAUAAUAAGCCAAGAAUCUUACCUAGGAUUGACAUGUAUUGUGUCUCAGGUGAAAGCCUGAUAUCCGUAGCAAUACGGAGCUUUACACAGGUGGUGCAUGGUCGUCGUCAGCUCGUGCCGCAAGGUGUCUAGUUAAGUCUGGAAACGAGCGCAACCCUCGUGUUUAGUUAGUAUGUCUAAACAGACUGCUCGGGUAACCGAGAGGAAGGAGAGGAUGACGUCAGAUCCUCAUGCCCCUUACACCUAGGGCCUCAUAGAUAAUACAAUGGGUAGGUACAGCGAGAAGCGAAACCGCGAGGUGGAGCAAAUCUUUAAAACUGCCCUUAGUUCGGAUUGUACUCUGGAACUCGAGUACAUGAAGUUGGAAUUGCUAGUAAUGGCAGAUCAGCCAUGCUGCCGUGAAUACGUCCCUGUUCCUUGCACUCACCGCCCGUCAAACCAUGGGAGCUGAGGCUCUUUGAAGACUCAUUAUAUGGGUUAAGGAGGGAAUCAGUGACUGGGGUUAAGUCGUAACAAGGCAUCCCUACCGGAAGGUGGGGAUA